CAGUCCAGGCAUAACUAAAUGUUGCCAUACUGUCCAAGUAUACUCUAUAAUCCUCAUGUGUAGUUUGUGCAUAGACAGAAAUGUGUCCUCUGAAUGUUUUCCCUGAUCCAUUAGGUUACAAUAUUUUGUUCUGUACUCUAUUACUUUUCCUGAUGCCAGCUCAAUGCUUGUACGUGCCUUGACGGUUAGCUCUUAUGUUCCUGUGCCGAUUGUUGUGGGUUACACAUUCGGGCGUUUCAUGUAAUAUAGUCCAUGUAAAUAUUAAGAAGGCUUCUACUCUUGUCAUAGGGAGAGCCUUCGGAGAAAGGAGAAAAGGGCGAUCCAGGUGCAUCAGGGGACCCUGGCCCUUCUGGACCCAUUGGAAGUCCAGGACCACAGGGCUUAACGGGAGAACAUGGAGUACCUGGAAGACCAGGGAUUAAAGGAGAAAAGGUAUGUUUUGGUGAUACAGAAUAAUAAUCAUUCUCAAAUUAGGUGAAAGAUUCCUAGGACUAACCUUUUGAGUGUAGCUGUCCAGGCUUUGUUAUGAGCAACAUCAUCCAGUAUAAAUUAUUGCUGCCUUCUCGUUACUGAACAGAAUAGGGAUUCACAGUUGAGACCAAUUUUCCUGUUACUGCAGACUCAUAUCUGUAUAUCUAUUGAACAGAUGCAAACAAAACAGAAACAUAUCCCAUUGUUUACUUCUGAGAUCAUUUACCAGUCUGCCCCAGAGCAGUGUAUGUCAUUAAAAUAGGAAACAAUACAAUAGAAAAAUAAUAAAUAUAAUGAAAUAAUUCAAUAUCUG
rnacentral:lncRNA from 1 species